rnacentral:rRNA from 2 species
AUGGACGCAAGUCUGAUGGAGCAACGCCGCGUGAGUUGAAGAAGGCUUUCGGGUCGUAAAACUCUGUUGUUGGAGAAGAAUGGUCGGCAGAGUAACUGUUGUCGGCGUGACGGUAUCCAACCAGAAAGCCACGGCUAACUACGUGCCAGCAGCCGCGGUAAUACGUAGGUGGCAAGCGUUAUCCGGAUUUAUUGGGCGUAAAGCGAGCGCAGGCGGUUUUUUAAGUCUGAUGUGAAAGCCCUCGGCUUAACCGAGGAAGCGCAUCGGAAACUGGGAAACUUGAGUGCAGAAGAGGACAGUGGAACUCCAUGUGUAGCGGUGAAAUGCGUAGAUAUAUGGAAGAACACCAGUGGCGAAGGCGGCUGUCUGGUCUGUAACUGACGCUGAGGCUCGAAAGCAUGGGUAGCGAACAGGAUUAGAUACCCUGGUAGUCCAUGCCGUAAACGAUGAAUGCUAGGUGUUGGAGGGUUUCCGCCCUUCAGUGCCGCAGCUAACGCAUUAAGCAUUCCGCCUGGGGAGUACGACCGCAAGGUUGAAACUCAAAGGAAUUGACGGGGGCCCGCACAAGCGGUGGAGCAUGUGGUUUAAUUCGAAGCAACGCGAAGAACCCUUACCAGGUCUUGA